GAUGUUCAGCAGCUGUGGGGACUGUCCUGAGCACUGGAAGAUGUUCAGCAGCUGUGGGGACUGUCCUGAGCACUGGAGGAUGUUCAGAUGUUCAGCAGCUGUGGGGACUGUCCUGAGCACUGGAGGAUGUUCAGAUGUUCAGCAGCUGUGGGGACUGUCCUGAGCACUGGAGGAUGUUCAGCAGCUGUGGGGACUGUCCUGAGCAAUGGAGGGUUUUCAGUACCAA